AUGCGGGGCCGCCCCAUAGAUGCAGGGCCGUGCCCCAUAGAUGCAGGGCCGUGCCCCAUAGAUGCAGGGCCGUGCCCCAUAGAUGCGGGGCCAUGCCCCAUAGAUGCGGGGCCGUGCCCCAUAGAUGCGGGGCCGCCCCAUAGCGCUGCCCCCCCAGGUGCUGGUGCUGCGGCGCGGCUGGGACACGGCGCUCCAGGCCCUGAACGUCACCAUGAGAACCGGCACCGACACGGCACCGUGACAACACCGGCACCGCCAACAACACCGACACCAACACCGGCACCGGGACCAACAACACCGACACCAACAACACUGACACCAACAACACCGGCACCGGCACCGGGACCAACAACACCGACACCAACACCAACACCACCAACACCGACACCAACACCGGCACCGGCAACACCAACACCAACACCGACACCAACACCGACACCGACACCAACACCGGCACCGGCAACACCAACACCGACACCAACACCGACACCGGCACCAACACCGGCACCAACACCAGCACCGCCAACAACACCACCACCAACACCGGCACCAACACCGGCACCGCCAACACCACCACCACCAACACCGGCACCAACACCGGCACCGCCAACACCACCACCACCAACACCGGCACCAACACCGGCACUGCCAACAACACCAACACCACCAACACUGGCACCGACACCAACACCAACAACACCGACACCGGCACCAUCACCAACACCGGCACCAGCAACACCAAGACUGACGCCGACACUGUCACCAACACCCGUGUCACUGUCACCUGUAUCCCCAUCACUGCCACCUGCGUCGCCGUCACCCGUGUCACCAUCACGGUGUCACCUGGAUCCUUGUCACCGUCACCAGUGUCACCUGGAUCCCUGUCACCACCACCCAUGUCACCGUCACGGUGUCACCUGGAUCCAUGUCACCAUCAUGGUGUCACCUGGAUCCCUGACACUGUCACCUGUGUCACCAUCACCGUGUCACCGUCAUCAGUGUCACCUGGAUCCAUGUCACUGUCACCGUGUCACCAUCACGGUGUCACCUGGAUCCUUGUCACCGUCACCGUGUCACCUGGAUCCCUGUCACCGCCACCCAUGUCACCGUCACAGUGUCACCUGUGUCCCUGUCACUGUCACCCGUGUCACCAUCACGGUGUCACCUGGAUCCCUGACACUGUCACCUGUGUCACCAUCACCGUGUCACCAUCAUGGUGUCACCUGGAUCCCUGUCACCGUCACCUGUGUCACCAUCAUCGUGUCACCUGGAUCCCUGUCACCAUCACCUGUCACUGCCACCCAUUGUCACCGUCCCCAUGGAAAUAAAGAUCCCCGCUGA
rnacentral:lncRNA from 1 species